GACGAAGGGGGCUAGCGUUGUUCGGAAUUACUGGGCGUAAAGGGCGCGUAGGCGGCACGGCAAGUCAGGAGUGAAAGCCCGGGGCUCAACCCCGGAAUGUCUUUUGAAACUGCCGAGCUAGAGUGCGGAAGAGGCAACUGGAAUUCCCAGUGUAGCGGUGAAAUGCGUAGAUAUUGGGAAGAACACCUGAGGCGAAGGCGGGUUGCUGGGCCGACACUGACGCUGAUGCGCGAAAGCCAGGGGAGCGAACGGG
rnacentral:rRNA from 1 species